CACACUCCAGUUCCAGCACGAUCACUGAAGUUAAGCAACGUCGGGCUUGAUCAGUACCUAGAUUGGUUACCGCUUGAGAUUAGCAGGUGCUGUAAG